UAGGAGAAUUCAUCCUACCUUUCAUGUGUCUAAAAUAAAACCUGUGUUUCAGGCACGCAUUAACCCGCCGGUCCCGGUUCCCCCGCCGCCACGACUUGUUGAUGGGGAGACCACCUUUUCUGUCAAUCGUAUUUUGGACUCUAGAAGGAGGGACGCGGAUUCCAGUACCUGGUGGACUGGGAGGGUUACGGCCCGGAGGAGAGAAGCUGGGUACCUGCUAGGGACAUUCUGGAUCACUCCCUUAUCGAUGAUUUCAAUCGACAGUGUUUGUGUGGGCGUGGUUUCCCAAUCUCGGCCUGAUUGUCUGCGCCAGCUGGAACCACUUAUCUUCCCUUUAUAUGUUCUGUUACCAGUGUUUCUUGUUGUCAGAUCGUUGUUUCUUCUCUGAGGUUGUGUCGUGUGUCCGUGCUCUUCUCUUGUGUGGAUUAUCUGCUGUGCUCCUUCCUACUCAUCUGGACACACUCCCCUGGUUUUCUCAGCACGUUAUGAUCGGAAGAUGCGCCCGAGUUCCUGGGUCGGAUUCCUUCUGAGUACAGUCUGUCUGUCAUGUUGCUGCUGUGAACUACAUUCAUUAAAACCAUCGUUGCUUGCA